AUACAUGUUGAGCGCACUUUAAUGUGACUCUUUGUAUACCAUUACCACCCAACCCAGAGGUGCAUUGUGGCCUUUUACGAGGUUAGCAGUGUAUCAGUACGUAUCCCAAAGGCAACUUUGAGUUACAUUACCCAUCAUUUACCCCCAUUUACACUUAAUAAGUUUUAAGAAUGAUACCUAUAAUUAUAUAACUUUCAGCAAUGGAUCUCUAGGCUCUCACGUCGAUGAAGAACACAGUGAAAUGUGAUACGUAAUGUGAAUUGCAGAAUUCAGUGAAUCAUCGAAUCUUUGAACGCACCUUGCACCUUUUGGUUAUUCCGAGAGGUACACCUGUUUGAAUGUCAUGAAACCCCCCUCGGCUCUAAUGCUUUCUAAAAGGAUUGGAGACGGAUUCUGAGUGUUGGCGUGAUAACGCCUCGCUUCAAAUUGAUCAGCACUUUUGGAUGGUUUAGAAUUAGUUCGAAAGACGUACUUGAUGUUGUAGUAAUAUGUCAUUGAGGCAGUCUUUGGUCGUCACGACUAUCCGCUAAUUUGAAGACUUGAAGAAUAGCUUCCUAACCCUAUGAAUUACCCUUU
rnacentral:misc_RNA from 1 species